rnacentral:lncRNA from 1 species
CUCGGUUGCACUCGGAGGAGCAGAACGAACGAAUCCUGCCGCCCUCCCUUCCGAGCCGUUGCAGCCCGGAAUUUUUUUAUGGUGAAAGCUAUGUGGAGCUCAACAUCAUAGAAGUUUCAUCUGAGUUAUCUCUUCAACUAAGAUUUCAAACCAGCAAACCACAGGGAUUACUUUUUCUUGCAGCUGGGAAAAAUGACUACUGUAUAAUAGAACUUCUAUCAGGAAACAUACGGGUGAGGCUGAAUUUGGGUGCAGGUGAACAAGUCCUCCUUUCUGAGCAAAGACUUCGUCUGGAUGACCUGCUUUGGCAUUCAGUGGAACUGUACUAUGUUAAAAACAGUAUCUCUCUGGUUAUCGAUGAACAUUAUGAGACAA